rnacentral:rRNA from 1 species
GAUCAUGGCUCAGGAUGAACGCUAGCUACAGGCUUAACACAUGCAAGUCGAGGGGCAGCAUGGAGUUGCUGCAAACUCUGAUGGCGACCGGCGCACGGGUGAGUAACGCGUAUCCAACCUUCCCUAUAGUAGAGGAUAGCCCGGCGAAAGUCGGAUUAAUACUCUAUGUUUUCCGUUGCAGACAUCUAAGAUGGAACAAAGGCUUGCCGCUAUAGGAUGGGGAUGCGUCUGAUUAGAUAGUAGGCGGGGUAACGGCCCACCUAGUCGACGAUCAGUAGGGGUUCUGAGAGGAAGGUCCCCCACAUUGGAACUGAGACACGGUCCAAACUCCUACGGGAGGCAGCAGUGAGGAAUAUUGGUCAAUGGGCGAGAGCCUGGACCAGCCAAGUAGCGUGCAGGAUGACGGCCCUAUGGGUUGUAAACUGCUUUUAUAUGGGGAUAAAGUCACCCACGCGUGGGUGUUUGUAGGUACCAUAUGAAUAAGGACCGGCUAAUUCCGUGCCAGCCGCCGC